GGGGGUGAACGGUCUCGACGGGGGUCGUCGAAGGCAGGGUUGCGCGCCGAGGUGCGGGUGGCCUCGUAGGUACGCCCAAAAGGGCGUGACCGUAAAAACCCGCGAAACCACAAAGGCCAACAAGCCUGCUGCUCUCGCGGCUUAAUGACCGCGACCUCGCCCGGUGGCCCUGCCGGGGGCUCACCGGAUGCGGGGACACAAACCCGGCUAGCCUGGGGCCACGCCCCCUAACCCCAGGCGAAGCGCAAGGGGGCUCGCCCCUGGCCGCCCGUCCGCGGGCUAAGCCAGGGGGACACCUAAAACGCGGACUACGCGCGUAGAGGCCCGCCGUAGAGACCUUCGGACGGGGGUUCAACUCCCCCCACCUCCACCA
rnacentral:tmRNA from 1 species